rnacentral:rRNA from 1 species
UACGAAGGGGGCGAGCGUUGUUCGGAUUUACUGGGCGUAAAGGGCGCGCAGGCGGCACAUUUUGUCAGGCGUGAAAGCCCCGGGCUUAACCUGGGAACUGCGUUUGAUACGGAUGGGCUAGAGUUCGGAAGAGGCGAGUGGAAUUCCUGGUGUAGCGGUGAAAUGCGCAGAUAUCAGGAGGAACACCUAUUGCGAAGGCAGCUCGCUGGGACGUAACUGACGCUGAGACGCGAAAGCGUGGGGAGCAAACAGG